rnacentral:misc_RNA from 1 species
AAGGAAUUUCAACUUACCCAAAAAGACAGAGAAGAAAGAAAAUUAGAAGAAGAAAUAAUGAAUAUUAACAGAGCAGAGUCAGAUGAUUAUGAGGAAGAGGAUAUAGAGUUAAAAAUGGCGAGACGAGAAAGUCUAUGGCAAUUUGAUGAAGAUGCAUUUCCAAGGAGAGCUGGUGCUCAUUUUGAAGGUGGUGGUAGUAGCUGCCAUGAUGCUUCCCACCAAGUAUUAGGCUAGUAGGCUACUAUUCGUGAAAGGGGUAGAGAAGCUACAA